ACGAACGCUGGCGGCGUGCUUCACCCAUGCCCGUCGAACGGAAAGGCCCUGCUUUUGUGGGGUGCUCGAGCGGCGAACGGGUGAGUAACACGUGAGUAACCUGCCCUUGACUUUGGGAUAACUUCAGGAAACUGGGGCUAAUACCGGAUAGGAGCUCCUGCUGCAUGGUGGGGGUUGGAAAGUUUCGGCGGUUGGGGAUGGACUCGCGGCUUAUCAGCUUGUUGGCGGGGUAGUGGCUUACCAAGGCUUUGACGGGUAGCCGGCCUGAGAGGGUGACCGGCCACAUUGGGACUGAGAUACGGCCCAGACUCCUACGGGAGGCAGCAGUGGGGAAUAUUGCACAAUGGGCGGAAGCCUGAUGCAGCAACGCCGCGUGCGGGAUGACGGCCUUCGGGUUGUAAACCGCUUUCGCCUGUGACGAAGCGUGAGUGACGGUAAUGGGUAAAGAAGCACCGGCUAACUACGUG
rnacentral:rRNA from 1 species